rfam:Triticum aestivum genome assembly, contig: Triticum_aestivum_CS42_TGACv1_scaffold_501012_6BL
CAUAUACUCCCUCCGUCCGGAAAUACUUGUCGCAGAAAUGCAUAAAAAUGGAUGUACCUAGAACUAAAAUAUGUCUAGAUACAUCCAUUCCUCCGACACGUAUUUUUGGACGGAGGGAGUAGAUG